AUUGAACGCUGGCGGCAUGCCUAACACAUGCAAGUCGAACGAGUGGCGGACGGGUGAGUAAUGUCUGGGAAACUGCCCGAUGGCGGGGGAUAACUACUGGAACCGGUAGCUAAUACCGCAUACCAUCGGAUGUGCCAAGAUGGGAUUAGCUAGUUGGUGGGGUAACGGCUCACCGAGGCGACGCUCCCGAGCUGGUCUGAGAGGAUGACCAGCCACACUGGAACGUAGACACGGUCCAGACUCCUACGGGAGGCAGCAGUGGGGAAUAUUGGACAAUGGGCGAAAGCCUGAUGCAGCCAUGCCGCGUGUAUGAAGAAGGCCUUCGGGUUGUAAAGUACUUUCAGCGGAGAGGCGUUACUCGCAGAAGAAGCACCGGCUAACUCCGUGCCAGCAGCCGCGGUAAUAC
rnacentral:rRNA from 1 species